GCCCGGGUGGCGGAACCGGUAGACGCAAGGGACUUAAAAUCCCUUGGGGGAAACCCCGUGCGGGUUCGAAUCCCGCCCCGGGCA
rnacentral:tRNA from 1 species